GCGGAUGAUUAAAACUUUUUAACCCCAAGCUGUUCAACAGCUAUGAAGAUUAAAAAUAGCAACAACAACACUCUAAUUUUUUGCUGACG
rnacentral:snoRNA from 1 species